AUGUCAUACGGAGGCCGAUUAAUCCUGAUUAAUUCGGUGCUCACGAGUAUGCCAAUGUUUCUCCUAUCGUUUUUUGAGGUCCCAGUUGGUGUUAGGAAGAGACUAGACUUCUAUCGAUCGUGUUUCUUUUGGCAGGGUGAUGAGCUUAAAAGAAAAUAUCGGCUUGCUAAAUGGGAUAUCAUCUGUAGACCGAGAGACCAAGGGGGUCUAGGUAUUGAGAAUCUAGAAGUUAAGAAUAAAUGCCUUCUUAGCAAGUGGCUGUGGAAGCUCUCAUCGGAGACUGAUGCUAUGUGGGCUCAAAUCCUUCGCAGCAAGUACCUCCAGACAAAAACUUUGUCCCAGGUUACAGUCAGG
rnacentral:rRNA from 1 species